UACGGAGGGAGCUAGCGUUGUUCGGAAUUACUGGGCGUAAAGCGUGCGUAGGCGGUUAUUCAAGUCAGAGGUGAAAGCCCGGGGCUCAACCCCGGAACGGCCUUUGAAACUAGGUAACUAGAAUCUUGGAGAGGUUAGUGGAAUUCCGAGUGUAGAGGUGAAAUUCGUAGAUAUUCGGAAGAACACCAGUGGCGAAGGCGACUAACUGGACAAGUAUUGACGCUGAGGUACGAAAGCGUGGGGGAGCAAACAGG
rnacentral:rRNA from 1 species